rnacentral:miRNA from 1 species
CUCAGAAUCACCCAGGAGUUGUGAAAAUGCAGAUCCUGAUUAACUAGGUCUGAAAUGGAACCUGAGAGUCUGCAUUUCUAACAAGCUUCCAGAAGAUUCUGGG